AGCAGCCGCGGUAAUUCCAGCUCCAAUAGCGUAUAUUAAAGUUGUUGCAGUUAAAAAGCUCGUAGUUGAAUUUCGGGAUCAGUAGGUUGGUCAUGCCUUUGGUAUGUACUGGUCUCACUGAUUCCUCCCUCUUGAAGAACUGUAAUGUCAUUAAUUUGGUGUUGCGGGGAAUCAGGACUGUUACUUUGAAAAAAUUAGAGUGUUUAAAGCAGGCUUACGCUUGAAUACAUUAGCAUGGAAUAAUGAAAUAGGACGUUUGAUCCUAUUUUGUUGGUUUCUAGGAUUGACGUAAUGAUUAAUAGGGAUAGUUGGGGGCAUUAGUAUUCAAUUGUCAGAGGUGAAAUUCUUGGAUUUAUUGAAGACUAACUACUGCGAAAGCAUUUGCCAAGGAUGUUUUCAUUAAUCAAGAACGAAAGUUAGGGGAUCGAAGACGAUCAGAUACCGUCGUAGUCUUAACCAUAAACUAUGCCGACUAGGGAUCGGAUGAUGUUAAUUUUUUAAUGACUCAUUCGGCGCCUUA
rnacentral:rRNA from 1 species